CUCAUUCAAAAAUUAAGAGAGAGAGGGUGGAGAAAACCAUCAGAAAGCACUUGUAUAAUUUACUCUUUCUGGAUCAUGGAAUGAUCUCCUUCUUUAACCUCCUGUGUUUUUGGACCCUAUUUUCAGAAUAGUUUCACACUAUAUAAACAGCACUAGGCUAAGAGUUCAGAGACCUGAGUUUCUUCCUGGCUUCCUCUCCAUCUCAGCUUCCCUGGGUACUUAGUUUUUUCAUGAUUGAAUUUGAGGAUCAAAUGAGAUGAAAUGGGAAAAAGACUGAGCAAAUGCAAGGGCUCAGAGCACAGUCUUCCUUUUCUGAAAGGCAUUAUUUAAGUAGUACUUUUAAAUAAAAUACAUAUGAUUUGAUUGAUGGAUAUUAAAGUAUAUAUUGUUUUUCUGAAACCCUAACAUAAUUAUAAGAACACGAGGAUCUGUAUUAUACUCUUUGUUCCACGCUCAAAAUACAUAUUUGACAUCAGAUGGAAGAGCCACAUUUUCCAGGAUAAGCAAAAUUGUCUUCUAUUUUCUGUUGUUCCUUCUCAGGAAGUCUUCUGCAAUUUCCUUGGAGGAGUCUCAUCUUGCUGGAAGGACCUGCUACUGAAGGAAGAAUAUAUGGAUGCUCUAUUUCCUGAGGCCUUUCUUAUCUGAAGUGUUGCUUCAUAUGACAACUUGAAAGGCACACAAUUCGCUUUUCUUCCUGAAAGAUGGCAAAUGCUUCAAAAACUGAACAAGUUGAUAAAUUAUACCGGGACGAGCUCACCCACCACUGAAGUGCAACCAUCUUUGGGGUAGCUCCCUACAGCUGUUUACCACCAUGCUGUGGUGCCUAGGAGCAGUCUGUCAUAAAGAAAAGAAGAAUGCACUUGGAAUAUAAGCAACAGGCAAUUUGCAGAAGAGAAGAUAUAAUUAUCUAGAUUGGAAUAUGACCAGGACAACCAUACCAUUCCCACAAACCACCAAGAAGGCAAAAAGUAAGCAAGAGAGGUUUGGGUAUCUGGUAUCUGUUAAGAGAGGUUUGGAUAUCUGAUAAUUGUUUGAAUCACAAUCUAAUGUUUUUAUGCUACCAAAAAAUGAAAUUUAG
rnacentral:lncRNA from 1 species